rnacentral:tRNA from 1 species
AGCUCAGCUGGCUAGAGCGUACGGUUCAUACCCGUGAGGUCGGGGGUUCGAUCCCCUCCGCCGCCA